CAGUCGCCGCGGUAAAACGAAGGGGGCUAGCGUUGUUCGGAUUUACUGGGCGUAAAGCGCACGUAGGCGGAUCGAUCAGUCAGGGGUGAAAUCCCAGAGCUCAACUCUGGAACUGCCUUUGAUACUGUCGAUCUGGAGUGUGGAAGAGGUGAGUGGAAUUCCGAGUGUAGAGGUGAAAUUCGUAGAUAUUCGGAGGAACACCAGUGGCGAAGGCGGCUCACUGGUCCAUUACUGACGCCGAGGUGCGAAAGCGUGGGGAGCAAACAGGAUUAGAUACCCCGGUAGUCCCUGUCUCUUAUAC
rnacentral:rRNA from 1 species